UGGGGAAUAUUGCACAAUGGGCGAAAGCCUGAUGCAGCGACGCCGCGUGGAGGAUGACGGCCUUCGGGUUGUAAACUCCUUUCAGCAGGGAAGAAGCGAAAGUGACGGUACCUGCAGAAGAAGCACCGGCUAACUACGUGCCAGCAGCCGCGGUAAUACGUAGGGUGCAAGCGUUGUCCGGAAUUAUUGGGCGUAAAGAGCUCGUAGGCGGUCUGUCGCGUCUGGUGUGAAAACUUGAGGCUCAACCUUAAGCCUGCAUCGGGUACGGGCAGACUAGAGUACUGUAGGGGAGACUGGAAUUCCUGGUGUAGCGGUGGAAUGCGCAGAUAUCAGGAGGAACACCGAUGGCGAAGGCAGGUCUCUGGGCAGUUACUGACGCUGAGGAGCGAAAGCAUGGGGA
rnacentral:rRNA from 1 species